rnacentral:rRNA from 1 species
CAUGAUCUAGCUUGCUAGAUUGAUGGCGAGUGGCGAACGGGUGAGUAAUACAUCGGAACGUGCCCUGUAGUGGGGGAUAACUAGUCGAAAGAUUAGCUAAUACCGCAUACGACCUGAGGGUGAAAGUGGGGGACCGCAAGGCCUCAUGCUAUAGGAGCGGCCGAUGUCUGAUUAGCUAGUUGGUGAGGUAAAGGCUCACCAAGGCGACGAUCAGUAGCUGGUCUGAGAGGACGAUCAGCCACACUGGGACUGAGACACGGCCCAGACUCAUACGGGAGGCAGCAGUGGGGAAUUUUGGACAAUGGGGGCAACCCUGAUCCAGCAAUGCCGCGUGUGUGANNAAGGCCUUCGGGUUGUAAAGCACUUUNNUCCGGAAAGAAAUCGCACUUACUAAUAUUAGGUGUGGAUGACGGUACCGGAAGAAUAAGGACCGGCUAACUACGUGCCAGCAGCCGCGGUAAUACGUAGGGUCCAAGCGUUAAUCGGAAUUACUGGGCGUAAAGCGUGCGCAGGCGGUUGUGCAAGACCGAUGUGAAAUCCCCGGGCUUAACCUGGGAAUUGCAUUGGUGACUGCACGGCUAGAGUGUGUCAGAGGGGGGUAGAAUUCCACGUGUAGCAGUGAAAUGCGUAGAGAUGUGGAGGAAUACCGAUGGCGAAGGCAGCCCCCUGGGAUAACACUGACGCUCAUGCACGAAAGCGUGGGGAGCAAACAGGAUUAGAUACCCUGGUAGUCCACGCCCUAAACGAUGUCAACUAGUUGUUGGGGAUUCAUUUCCUUAGUAACGUAGCUAACGCGUGAAGUUGACCGCCUGGGGAGUACGGUCGCAAGAUUAAAACUCAAAGGAAUUGACGGGGACCCGCACAAGCGGUGGAUGAUGUGGAUUAAUUCGAUGCAACGCGAAAAACCUUACCUACCCUUGACAUGCCACUAACGAAGCAGAGAUGCAUUAGGUGCUCGAAAGAGAAAGUGGACACAGGUGCUGCAUGGCUGUCGUCAGCUCGUGUCGUGAGAUGUUGGGUUAAGUCCCGCAACGAGCGCAACCCUUGUCUCUAGUUGCUACGAAAGGGCACUCUAGAGAGACUGCCGGUGACAAACCGGAGGAAGGUGGGGAUGACGUCAAGUCCUCAUGGCCCUUAUGGGUAGGGCUUCACACGUCAUACAAUGGUGCAUACAGAGGGUUGCCAAGCCGCGAGGUGGAGCUAAUCCCAGAAAAUGCAUCGUAGUCCGGAUCGUAGUCUGCAACUCGACUACGGAAGCUGGAAUCGCUA